UUUGAAACGAACAGCGAGUGCUCCAAGCCGGGUGUCAUGUAGGUGCCAAGCUCACCAAACAUGUGUUGAGGGAGAAGGACUCUGUAGCAUCUUGCAGGGAGGACCUGAUAGACUGGUGUCCAUCAGGGCCCACCCUCUGGAUCCUGCCAGCUUCCUCACCAAGAAGGGGCGACGUUUCUGUGCCAACCCCAGUGAUAAGCAAGUUCAGGUUUGCAUGAGAAUGCUGAAGCUGGACACACGGAUCAAGACCAGGAAGAAUUGAACUUGUCAAGGUGAAGGGACACAAGUUGCCAGCCACCAACUUUCUUGCCUCAACUACCUUCCUGAAUUAUUUUUUUAAGAAGCAUUUAUUCUUGUGUUCUGGAUUUAGAGCAAUUCAUCUAAUAAACAGUUUCUCACUUU
rnacentral:lncRNA from 1 species